GACGAACGCUGGCGGCGCGCCUAACACAUGCAAGUCGAACGAGCGAGAGAGAGCUUGCUUUCUCGAGCGAGUGGCGAACGGGUGAGUAACGCGUGAGGAACCUGCCUCAAAGAGGGGGACAACAGUUGGAAACGACUGCUAAUACCGCAUAAGCCCACGACCCGGCAUCGGGAAGAGGGAAAAGGAGCAAUCCGCUUUGAGAUGGCCUCGCGUCCGAUUAGCUAGUUGGUGAGGUAACGGCCCACCAAGGCAACGAUCGGUAGCCGGACUGAGAGGUUGAACGGCCACAUUGGGACUGAGACACGGCCCACACUCCUACGGGAGGCAGCAGUGGGGAAUAUUGCACAGUGGGGGAAACCCUGAUGCAGCGACGCCGCGUGGAGGAAGAAGGUCUUCGGAUUGUAAACUCCUGUUGUUGAGGAAGAUAAUGACGGUACUCAACAAGGAAGUGACGGCUAACUACGUGCCAGCAGCCGCGGUAAAACGUAGGUCACAAGCGUUGUUCGGAAUUACUGGGUGUAAAGGGAGCGCAGGCGGGAAGACAAGUUGGAAGUGAAAUCCAUGGGCUCAACCCAUGAACUGCUUUCAAAACUGUUUUUCUUGAGUAGUGCAGAGGUAGGCGGAAUUCCCGGUGUAGCGGUGGAAUGCGUAGAUAUCGGGAGGAACACCAGUGGCGAAGGCGGCCUACUGGGCACCAACUGACGCUGAGGCUCGAAAGUGUGGGUAGCAAACAGGAUUAGAUACCCUGGUAGUCCACACCGUAAA
rnacentral:rRNA from 1 species